GUCCAAAGCCCUGGCCCAUGGUGUC
rnacentral:piRNA from 1 species